CAUGCCAACACGGACUUCAAAAAAUUAUACAAAAAUCAAAAUCAAAGUCAUGAAAUUAGGGUUUUUUCAUGUAUAUCAAUCUAGAGACGAAUAUAAACACAUAACUAAACAAAUUCAGAAUCAAAUACCAUGAAUUUUAAAGUUAAGUGACUGAUUUAGGCAAUUCAUGCCAAAGCAAACAAACAUGCAAGUUAAGGUAUUGAGAAAUCAAACUGGUCAAUAAUCGCAGGGAGGUUCAUCACAAACCUCGCCGGUCAUCAACUCCGUCGAGGACGUGAUGGGUGAUAGGAGAGGGCGACAAAAACGACAAUCGUCGGUGGCCUGAUUUCUCUGGUCUUGGGGUCCCUAUCGGCCAAAAAACGAUGUAGCGGCAGCAUUGUUUUUGCUAUUUUGCCGGUGGCAGUGAUGGUUGGAACGGUCCGACGCUGCGGAUUAUCGAGGUUCACUGGCGCUGGUUGACAGAAAUGGUGACUGCAGUCCACAGGUGGUCCUUAGGUGAUGAGACUGAUUAGAAAGGAGAGGAGGUAGUGGGUGGUGCUUGGCUGGACGGAGAACGGGAUGGAGGGGAUCAGUGGCAAUGCUGGUGGUUUUGGGAAGGCCGGUCAUCCGGUGGUUAGUUC
rnacentral:lncRNA from 1 species